UUUCCGUAGGUGAACCUGCGGAAGGAUCAUUAAAGAGAAUAUGCCCUUCGGGGUAGAUCUCCCACCCUUUGUUUAUAUUACCUUUGUUGCUUUGGCAGGCCCGUCCUCGGACCACCGGCUUCGGCUGGUCAGUGCCUGCCAGAGGACCCAAAACUCUUAUUAUUAAUGUCGUCUGAGUACUAUAUAAUAGUUAAAACUUUCAACAACGGAUCUCUUGGUUCUGGCAUCGAUGAAAACGCAGC
rnacentral:misc_RNA from 1 species